rnacentral:rRNA from 1 species
UACGUAGGGUGCGAGUGUUAAUCGGAAUUACUGGGCGUAAAGCGUGCGCAGGCGGUUAUGCAAGACAGAUGUGAAAUCCCCGGGCCCAACCUGGGAACUGCCUUUGUGACUGCAUAGCUGGAGUGCGGCAGAGGGGGAUGGAAUUCCGCGUGUAGCAGUGAAAUGCGUAGAUAUGCGGAGGAACACCGAUGGCGAAGGCAAUCCCCUGGGCCUGCACUGACGCUCAUGCACGAAAGCGUGGGGAGCAAACAGG